CCUGUCACCUUCCUGUGCUUCCGCCUGCAAUGGCAGAGCAGAACAUCCCAAAUGCAAGUCAGCUCGUCAAGCCUUAUUUUGUGAAAUUCCGCCUCCGAGUAAUAUUGCACGAAUCCGACGCCCUGAGAUGAAUCACCACAAUCCAACUGCAGUGCACCCUGGCAAACAUGCAGCUGAGACACCAGCCUCAGUCUGAUCUUGCCAAGUGGCCUGUGUUCAGGAAAGGAAGCAGAGAAGCUGCCAGGAGGCACAGAGUCAGACUGCACAGUGGGGCGACAGUUGACAAGGACCAGGAGCUCUGCCACUCGAUGGGCUCACUCUUUGUUGCUUUUGCUCCGACGAACUCAAAGGGCUCUCGGUGACUGUACUGCAGCCGACAGGUGCAAUUACAGAUUGAUACACGGAUGCGCAACACUGGAACAGGCACUACUUAGCCAGCCCCUGUCGCCAGGCUAUGGUUUGGGUCCUACAGGUUGCGGGAGAAACCAUUUUGCCGGCGAGAAAUCAAAACAAGAGCAUCCCUUAUGCAGAUCCAAGACGUGAGGGUCUCCAAGGCGGGGAGGAAGAAAUGACUCGAAAGGCUGAAGUGAGCUUGUGGUCUUUAUACUUCAGUAUAGAAGUAGAAGUUGGGUCUUUCCGCAGAUUCAAAGCAAUUUGACAGAACGACUUUGAAGGAACCCAGAACCUUCUGCUACAGACUGCAGCGCAAAGUCCCUUUGGUCACGUUCCAAAUUCAGGAGGGGUCUCCCAGCACCUUCUUUAUUUUGUUUAAAUGCAUAGUAUGUAAUUAAAAGAAGAAGAAGGGUGAAGGAA